AGCCAUCUGGAUCGGUGCCGAGGUCUUGUCAGACACCAAACCAUCAGUACUGACGAGACCCUCAAGAUAAGUGAAGCG
rfam:Schistosoma haematobium scaffold636_42, whole genome shotgun sequence.